rnacentral:rRNA from 1 species
GAUGAACGCUGGCGGCGUGCCUAAUACAUGCAAGUCGAGCGAAUGGAUUAAGAGCUUGCUCUUAUGAAGUUAGCGGCGGACGGGUGAGUAACACGUGGGUAACCUGCCCAUAAGACUGGGGUAACUCCGGGAAACCGGGGCUAAUACCGGAUAACAUUUUGAACCGCAUGGUUCGAAAUUGAAAGGCGGCUUCGGCUGUCACUUAUGGAUGGACCCGCGUCGCAUUAGCUAGUUGGUGAGGUAACGGCGCACCAAGGCAACGAUGCGUAGCCGACCUGGGAGGGUGAUCGGCCACACUGGGACUGAGACACGGCCCAGACUCCUACGGGAGGCAGCAGUAGGGAAUCUUCCGCAAUGGACGAAAGUCUGACAGAGCAACGCCGCGUGAGUGAUGAAGGCUUUCGGGUCGUAAAACUCUGUUGUUAGGGAAGAACAAGUGCUAGUUGAAUAAGCUGGCACCUUGACGGUACCUAACCAGAAAGCCACGGCUAACUACGUGCCAGCCGCCGCGGUAA